rnacentral:rRNA from 1 species
CUGCUUCGCUGACGAGUGGCGGACGGGUGAGUAAUGUCUGGGAAACUGCCUGAUGGAGGGGGAUAACUACUGGAAACGGUAGCUAAUACCGCAUAACGUCGCAAGACCAAAGAGGGGGACCUUCGGGCCUCUUGCCAUCGGAUGUGCCCAGAUGGGAUUAGCUAGUAGGUGGGGUAACGGCUCACCUAGGCGACGAUCCCUAGCUGGUCUGAGAGGAUGACCAGCCACACUGGAACUGAGACACGGUCCAGACUCCUACGGGAGGCAGCAGUGGGGAAUAUUGCACAAUGGGCGCAAGCCUGAUGCAGCCAUGCCGCGUGUAUGAAGAAGGCCUUCGGGUUGUAAAGUAC